CCUCACUGCCACAUCUCCAUCUGUUCCCCUUUCUCCUUCUCUUCCCUCCCCAAAUCACUUUCUCUUUCUCAUCUCCUUUCUCUCCGUCCUUUAUGCCUCAAGUCUCAGUCAAAAACAUCCUGAAAACCACUCGCCGAUACCCAAAUAGUGGUUUUCCGGCUAUCCAACAGUCUGUUAAACAGAUCUAAUCCACAUAUCAUAUGGGCUGAGUAAGAGCUUCAAAAGGGUUAUUUUGUUCAGUCGAAGAUCCCUUCACGAAUCAUCGAACGAGAUGGAGAAAGAGUGAAGUCGGUUACUCCGAGAUCUUUUUGUUUUGUUUUAUAGUCUGGUAAUAUUGGUUCUCAAGGUCCAUGUUUCGUAAAACCGACUUCUCACUGUUUUUUCUCUUCUUGUCAUUUGGCACGUAAUCACAGAUAGGCUGGAGCAACCCUUUUUUCUGAAAACCAAAACCGUAGCCAUUUCUGCACGUUUAUUAUCUGUAAUGAUCUGAUUAGCCUGCUCAGACUACAGCAAUGAAUCACAAAAACACUACCUCACAAAAUCUGUAUAAGACACCAAACGGGGAGUUAGAGAAGUGAAGGAGAUUAAGUGUGAAAGAUAGAUAAGGGUGUCGGAGAUGAACAUGGAAAGUGUGUGAGACUGUGAAUUGUUGUUAUUGUUGUAGAGCGGGGGGGUUCCAUAUCAAAGGGUUUUUCUUGGGGGUGAAGUAUGCCUGCCGGAAUCAUGAUUCCACCAGGACAUGUACCGCCGAUGAUGGGAAGGAAUGGAAAAAUCACUGGCUUUGGGUCAUCUUCGGGUCUUACGCUCGGUCAGCCAAACAUGUUGGAUGGACAGCAACACCAGCUCGAGAUGUCUCAGAACACCCCUGAAAGCGAGAUGGCUAAGAUAAGAGAUGAUGAGUUCGAGAGCAAAUCCGGCAGCGAAAACAUUGAAGGUGCCUCCGGUGAUGAUCAAGAUCCCAACCAGCGCCCCAGAAAGAAGCGUUAUCAUCGCCACACUCAGCUCCAAAUCCAGGAAAUGGAAGCUUUCUUCAAGGAGUGCCCUCAUCCGGAUGACAAACAAAGGAAGGAGCUUAGCCGUGAAUUAGGGUUAGAGCCUUUACAAGUCAAAUUUUGGUUCCAAAACAAGCGCACCCAAAUGAAGACCCAGCAUGAGCGCCAAGAGAACGCACAGCUGAGAGCCGAUAACGAGAAACUACGGACAGAGAACUUAAGGUACAAAGAAGCCCUCAGUAAUGCAUCAUGCCCUAACUGUGGAGGUCCCACUGCCAUCGGCGAGAUGUCAUUUGACGAGCAUCAGUUGAGGCUCGAAAAUGCUCGGCUAAGAGAGGAGAUCGAUAGGAUAUCGGGAAUUGCUGCAAAGUAUGUAGGCAAACCUUUGGUCUCUUACCCUCUUAUGUCUCCUUCCAUUCCUCCUCGUUCCCUUGACUUGGGUGUUGGGAAUUUUGGGGCUCAGCCCGGCCUCGGUGUUGGAGGUGGAGGGGAAAUGUACGGGGCAGCUGGUGAUCUCCUUAGGUCAGUCUCCGGGCAUAGCGAGGCUGAUAAGCCAAUGAUUAUCGAGCUUGCUGUUGCAGCAAUGGAGGAGCUCAUCCGGAUGGCUCAACUAGGCGAACCCUUGUGGGUGCCUUCCCUCGACAAUGCAACCGAGAUUCUAUCCGAGGAUGAAUACAUCCGGGUAUUUCCUAGGGGAAUUGGGCCAAAACCUGCGGCGUUCAAUACUGAAGCUUCCCGAGAAACUGCUGUUGUUAUCAUGAACCAUAUUAACCUUGUUGAAAUCCUUAUGGAUGUGAAUCAGUGGUCGAGUGUCUUCUCUAGCAUCGUUUCAAGAGCAAUGACGCUAGAAGUCCUAUCAACUGGAGUAGCAGGAAACUACAAUGGAGCCUUGCAAGUGAUGACAGCAGAAUUCCAAGUCCCUUCACCACUGGUGCCAACUCGAGAGAGUUACUUCGUCAGGUAUUGUAAACAGCAUGCCGAAGGGACAUGGGCGGUGGUUGAUGUUUCGUUGGAUCAUUUACGCCCUGGUCCUGUGUUGAGAUGUCGAAGAAGACCGUCAGGCUGCUUAAUCCAAGAGAUGCCAAAUGGAUACUCGAAAGUAACAUGGGUGGAACAUGUAGAGGUGGAUGAUAGAGCUGUUCAUAGCAUAUACAGAGGGCUGGUUAGCUGUUGUCUUGCAUUUGGUGCGAAGCGUUGGGUUGCCACCUUGGAUCGACAGUGCGAACGCCUUGCAAGUGUAAUGGCUAGUAACAUACCGGCUGGAGAUAUUGGUGUCAUAACAAGUCCAGAUGGGAGAAAGAGCAUGUUAAAGCUGGCUGAGAGGAUGGUAGUAAGCUUCUGUGCUGGUGUGAGUGCUUCUACCGCUCACACAUGGACUACAUUAUCCGGAAGUGGUGCCGAAGAUGUAAGAGUCAUGACUAGAAAGAGCAUCGACGAUCCAGGCAGACCUCCUGGUAUUGUGCUAAGUGCUGCCACUUCCUUCUGGCUACCAGUCCCACCAAAGAAAGUUUUUGACUUCCUACGCGAUGAGAACUCCCGAAGUGAGUGGGAUAUCCUUUCAAAUGGUGGUGUUGUUCAAGAAAUGGCACACAUUGCUAAUGGCCGUGAUCCAGGCAACUGUGUCUCCCUACUGCGAGUUAAUAGUGCAAAUUCAAGCCAGAGCAACAUGCUGAUAUUACAAGAGAGUUGCACCGACUCAACAGGCUCCUUGGUAAUUUAUGCUCCUGUGGAUGUUGUCGCAAUGAAUGUGGUUCUCAAUGGCGGAGACCCAGACUACGUUGCCCUCCUGCCCUCCGGGUUUGCUAUAUUACCUGAUGGGGCACCAGUUCAGAGUGGAGUACAUUGUGGAUCUCUACUGACUGUUGCAUUUCAGAUAUUGGUCGAUUCAGUUCCUACCGCAAAACUUUCUCUCGGAUCUGUGGCUACUGUCAACAGCCUCAUUGCUUGCACUGUUGAAAGAAUCAAGGCUGCGGUUUCAUGUGAAAGUACAUGAAUCCAAAAAACAGAGGCCAUGGACUUGAGGGCUUUUCGGCCUUUAUGGGACAUGGGAGUUAGGGCUGCAAACCAACUGGAUCAAAUCAGAUAUAGAUAAAUUAAAGAAGGAAGAACAAAACAGAAGGAAAAAGGGGGAGGGGUAUGGAUUUUGGGUGACGGGUUGGAGUCAAGAGCGAACCUUACCUGACCCGUGGUGGCGUUAUUGACUUCGCCAAACGGCAAGGAGAUACACCACCAACCACCUCGCAAGGGAAAUGGUUCGGGUAUUGACUUCUUCAAACGGCAAGGAGAUACAAGGAUCGAUUGACGAUAUACGGGGAUAUAUAAAUAUAGUUUCAUCUUCUAUUGUAGAGUUAGGGUUUUGAAUCUGAUCUGUUACUUAAUUCAUCUGUGUCCUCUUCUAUCCUUCGUUUCUUUUGUCUUCUUCCCCUGUUUGAGUGUGGUUUUGAAUUGUUGGGGGUAGGAUUUACACCACUAACAGACAUUGGUUUCUGUGUUACUUAAUAUAGUUCUCAUUAAUUACACAUGGCUUUGGAAUGAAA